rnacentral:rRNA from 1 species
UACAGAGGUCUCAAGCGUUGUUCGGAUUCAUUGGGCGUAAAGGGUGCGUAGGUGGCGGGGCAAGUCAGGUGUGAAAUCUCGGAGCUCAACUCCGAAACUGCACUUGAUACUGCCUUGCUGGAGUACUGGAGAGGAGAUUGGAAUUUACGGUGUAGCAGUGAAAUGCGUAGAUAUCGUAAGGAAGACCAGUGGCGAAGGCGAAUCUCUGGACAGUUCCUGACACUGAGGCACGAAGGCCAGGGGAGCAAACGGG